GAUGAACGCUGGCGGCGUGCCUAAUACAUGCAAGUCGAGCGAACAGACGAGGAGCUUGCUCCUCUGACGUUAGCGGCGGACGGGUGAGUAACACGUGGAUAACCUACCUAUAAGACUGGGAUAACUUCGGGAAACCGGAGCUAAUACCGGAUAAUAUAUUGAACCGCAUGGUUCAAUAGUGAAAGACGGUUUUGCUGUCACUUAUAGAUGGAUCCGCGCCGCAUUAGCUAGUUGGUAAGGUAACGGCUUACCAAGGCAACGAUGCGUAGCCGACCUGAGGGGGUGAUCGGCCACACUGGAACUGAGACACGGUCCAGACUCCUACGGGAGGCAGCAGUAGGGAAUCUUCCGCAAUGGGCGAAAGCCUGACGGAGCAACGCCGCGUGAGUGAUGAAGGUCUUCGGAUCGUAAAGCUCUGUUAUUAGGGAAGAACAAAUGUGUAAGUAACUAUGCACGUCUUGACGGUACCUAAUCAGAAAGCCACGGCUAACUACGUG
rnacentral:rRNA from 1 species